rnacentral:lncRNA from 1 species
CUCCCUCUGCAUUUCUCCUCGUCCUUCCUCCCUCUAGCCUAGCUCACAACAUCCCCUCCCAAACCACGGUGAACGGGCCCCGGGCACUGAACUCUGCCUGCAAGUGGGUGCCCUGCUGAGGGCCAGCCUGGGGCAUGUGGAUGGGAUGGGGUAUGCCCAUGCCCUGGGUGAUGCCUAGAGGCCUGCUGGCCCGGGGACGAGGGCCCAGCCGCGGGUAUGACCCAGAGAUGCUGGUACGCUGCCCGAGGCGCGGGCACUCAGCAGGCAGCAUCGUGACCCGAGCCAGUGAGUAAACAUGUUGUUCUCCCGCCCGGUUCCUGGCCUCGGCUGGGAGCGGGGAAAGGCUGGGGGGGGGAGCCUGGCUGUGUCACAGCUCCCCACGGGCAACGAUUGCGAAAGGCAGCCAGAGCCAAGCCAGAUCCCUGCUGUCUUUCACCGCCGGCCUGGGCAGAGAGCAGCCCGCCCCGAAGGGAAAGGACGCAGGGUGGGAGUGCCCUCUGCCUGCCCCCACGCCAGCACGUCUUGAACAGGAUGCCGCCGGAGAAGGUGCCCGAGCCGCACAGCUUCAAGGAGAAGGCUUUUAAGAAGAAGAAGAGAGCGUGUGUGGUGUGUAAGGAAUCCAUCGAGGCGCUGGGCCUCGUCUGCCAAGCCUGCAAGAUCGCCAGCCACAAGAAAUGCGAAGCGAAGGUAGGAGAAGGCGCGAUGCUGAAUUGGGGGGUGGGGGGAGAUGGCUGGAGCCCAGCCUUUGGGACCAU